rnacentral:rRNA from 1 species
AUGAGUGAUAGCAAACUCUUUAUGGAUAUGCUCAUGAAUUCGUUGUCAUCUUCAUCUAACAUGGAAGAACUCAUUCUUGUAGCAUGCAGAGACCACGAGAAAGAUGAAUAUGUGAAUGCUCGAUGCCAUGGCGGCUCCAAGCCUAGACAUCCGACAACCAACAUGCUCCAGCAACCACCGCCCUGUGAUGCUACCCUACACAGCAUCACAACGCCGACCUCUCCGCCUCCAAUGCCAACAUCGGUUGCUCAAGCUUACCGCGGCCCACGCUGCGAUGCUAUCAACCACGCAUGUGUCACUAUGCAUGUCGCAACCACCACUCUCUGGCUGAGCACAAGCAACCACCCUCCCUACUCACCACCUCCACCACCAUGGAGCGCCGCUGCCACUCACUCCGCACGAAAGCGUACCUCUGCCGGCUGGAUCCACAACAAAAGCUUGUGGCAGCGGCUGGAUCCAGCACGACGCACCCCUAGCUUCUAG